CCUACGGGAGGCAGCAGUGAGGAAUAUUGGUCAAUGGGCGCGAGCCUGAACCAGCCAAGUAGCGUGAAGGAUGACUGCCCUACGGGUUGUAACUUUCUUUUAUAAAGGAGUAAAGUGAAGCACGCGUGCCUUUUUGUAUGUACUUAAUUACUAAGGAUCGGCUAACUCCGUACCAGCAGCCGCGGUAAUACGGAGGAUCCCAGCGUUUUCCGGAUUUAUUGGGUUUAAGGGGAGCGGAGAUGGGUUUUUAAGUCAGUUGUGAAAGUUUGCGGCUCAACCCUAAAAUUGCAAUUGAUACUGGCAGCCUUGAGUACAGUUGAGGUAAGCGGAAUUCGUGGUGUAGCGGUGAAAUGCGUAGAUAUCACGAAGAACUCCGAUUGCGAAGGCAGCUUACUAAACUGCCACUGACAGUGAUGCUCGAAAGUGUGGGUAUCAAACAGGAUUAGAUACCCGAGUAGUC
rnacentral:rRNA from 1 species